rnacentral:rRNA from 1 species
CCUAGCCUUAAGGAUGGGGAUAACAGACGGAAACGACUGCUAAUACCGAAUACGUUCUAAGCAUCGCAUGAUGCAUAGAAGAAAGGGUGGCCUCUACAAGAAAGCUAUCGCCUUAAGAGGGGUUUGCGACUGAUUAGGUAGUUGGUGAGGUAACGGCUCACCAAGCCGACGAUCAGUAGCCGGUCUGAGAGGAUGAACGGCCACACUGGAACUGAGACACAGUCCAG